CCGAAUGGGGAAACCCAGUGUGACUCGUCACACUAUCAUUAACUGAAUCCAUAGGUUAAUGAGGCGAACCGGGGGAACUGAAACAUCUAAGUACCCCGAGGAAAAGAAAUCAACCGAGAUUCCCCCAGUAGCGGCGAGCGAACGGGGAGGAGCCCAGAGCCUGAAUCAGCAUGUGUGUUAGUGGAAGCGUCUGGAAAGGCGCGCGAUACAGGGUGACAGCCCCGUACACAAAAGCGCAUGUGCUGUGAGCUCGAUGAGUAGGGCGGGACACGUGGUAUCCUGUCUGAAUAUGGGGGGACCAUCCUCCAAGGCUAAAUACUCCUGACUGACCGAUAGUGAACCAGUACCGUGAGGGAAAGGCGAAAAGAACCCCGGCGAGGGGAGUGAAAAAGAACCUGAAACCGUGUACGUACAAGCAGUGGGAGCCCCACCACUAAGCCAGUGGUGAACUCCACAUACGCAUCCUUUGCUGAGGAUACGGUUAACGGAGCGAAAGCGACGUUCAACCGCAAAAGAAGCAGAGGGGGCUUAGUGGUGGGGUGACUGCGUACCUUUUGUAUAAUGGGUCAGCGACUUAUAUUCUGUAGCAAGGUUAACCGAAUAGGGGAGCCGGAGGGAAACCGAGUCUUAAUUGGGCGUUAAGUUGCAGGGUAUAGACCCGAAACCCGGUGAUCUAGCCAUGGGCAGGUUGAAGGUUGGGUAACACUAACUGGAGGACCGAACCGACUAAUGUUGAAAAAUUAGCGGAUGACCUGUGGCUGGGGGUGAAAGGCCAAUCAAACCGGGAGAUAGCUGGUUCUCCCCGAAAGCUAUUUAGGUAGCGCCUCGUGAAUUCAUCUCCGGGGGUAGAGCACUGUUUCGGCUAGGGGGCCAUCCCGGCUUACCAACCCGAUGCAAACUGCGAAUACCGGAGAAUGUUAUCACGGGAGACACACGGCGGGUGCUAACGUCCGUCGUGAAGAGGGAAACAACCCAGACCGCCAGCUAAGGUCCCAAAGUCAUGGUUAAGUGGGAAACGAUGUGGGAAGGCCCAGACAGCCAGGAUGUUGGCUUAGAAGCAGCCAUCAUUUAAAGAAAGCGUAAUAGCUCACUGGUCGAGUCGGCCUGCGCGGAAGAUGUAACGGGGCUAAACCAUGCACCGAAGCUGCGGCAGCGACGCUGAUGCGUUGUUGGGUAGGGGAGCGUUCUGUAAGCCUGCGAAGGUGACCUGUGAGGGUUGCUGGAGGUAUCAGAAGUGCGAAUGCUGACAUAAGUAACGAUAAAGCGGGUGAAAAGCCCGCUCGCCGGAAGACCAAGGGUUCCUGUCCAACGUUAAUCGGGGCAGGGUGAGUCGACCCCUAAGGCGAGGCCGAAAGGCGUAGUCGAUGGGAAACGGGUUAAUAUUCCCGUACUUGGUGUUACUGCGAAGGGGGGACGGAGAAGGCUAUGUUGGCCGGGCGACGGUUGUCCCGGUUUAAGCGUGUAGGUGUGUGUUCCAGGUAAAUCCGGUUCACUUUAACACUGAGGCGUGA
rnacentral:rRNA from 1 species